GCGAGACCCGUCUGUGUCUCCGGGAGCAGCGCUGCUCCCUGACCCGGGGAUCGCGGUCCCUGGAUGGGGAAGAGCCGGGACCCCUUUGUGCCGCCUGAGCGUCCGAGCAGGCUGCAGACCAGGACUUUGCGGGCUUUUGGCCUGGUUUGUAAGUCGGCAAUUGCAAGUCUCCCAUUGCAGUAUAGUAUCAUCAUCCAGCGUGACGUCGCCUCUACCGUGUAAUUUCCUGUGACAGUCUGCCCCGUUCUCCCCUGCCCUCCCAUGGCAGGAGGGGGGGGGUGUGUUAGGAAGGUGCACAGGCUCAUUACAGACCUGCAGGGCUGUGUCUCCGGCACGAAUGAGAAACUGUCAUCCACACUAUAGCUCAUCUGAAGCUGAGCUUCCAGUUUGAUACUGUUCCCAGAUGAUUCUGCUGUUCCAGCUGUAGGU